UACGGGGGGGGCAAGCGUUGUUCGGAAUUACUGGGCGUAAAGCGCGCGCAGGCGGUCUUUCAAGUCAGUGGUGAAAGCCUGGAGCUCAACUCCAGAACUGCCAUUGAAACUGCAAGACUUGAGUACGAGAGAGGUGAGUGGAAUUCCCAGUGUAGAGGUGAAAUUCGUAGAUAUUGGGAAGAACACCGGUGGCGAAGGCGGCUCACUGGCUCGUAACUGACGCUCAGGCGCGACAGCGUGGGGAUCAAACAGG
rnacentral:rRNA from 1 species